rnacentral:rRNA from 1 species
AUACGGAGGAUCCGAGCGUUAUCCGGAUUUAUUGGGUUUAAAGGGUGCGCAGGCGGGAGAUUAAGUCGGCGGUGAAAUUUUGCAGCUCAACUGUAAAAGUGCCUUCGAAACUGGUUUCCUUGAGUGUAGAUGAAGGAGGCGGAAUUUGUGGUGUAGCGGUGAAAUGCAUAGAUAUCACGAGGAACUCCGAUUGCGCAGGCAGCUUACUAAACUACUACUGACGCUCAGGCACGAAGGCGUGGGGAUCAAACAGGAUUAGAUUCCCUGGUAGUCAACGCAGUAAACGAUGAUUACUAGCUGUUUGCGAUACAAUGUAAGCGGCUGAGCGAAAGCGUUAAGUAAUCCACCUGGGGAGUACGUUCGCAAGAAUGAAACUCAAAGGAAUUGACGGGG